CCUACGGGGGGCAGCAGUGGGGGAUAUUGCACAAUGGGGGGAACCCUGAUGCAGCGACGCCGCGUGGGUGAAGAAGGGCCUCGGCGCGUAAAGCCCUGUCAGCAGGGAAGAAAAUGACGGUACCUGAAGAAGAAGCCCCGGCUAACUACGUGCCAGCAGCCGCGGUAAUACGUAGGGGGCAAGCGUUAUCCGGAUUGACUGGGGGUCAAGGGGGCGCAGACGGCGAUGCAAGCCAGGAGUGAAAGCCCGGGGCCCCACCCCGGGACUGCUCUUGGAACUGCGUGGCUGGAGUGCAGGAGGGGCAGGCGGAAUUCCUGGUGUAGCGGUGAACUGCGUAGAUAUCAGG
rnacentral:rRNA from 1 species